CGGGAAUAAACCACCGUAGGAAACAGAUGACUAAUACCGGAUAACAACAGAUGAUGCCUAUCAACUGUUUAAAAGAUGGUUCUGCUAUCACUCUUGGAUGGACCUGCGGUGCAUUAGCUAGUUGGUAGGGUAACGGCCUACCAAGGCGAUGAUGCAUAGCCGAGUUGAGAGACUGAUCGGCCACAUUGGGACUGAGACACGGCCCAAACUCCUACGGGAGGCAGCAGCC
rnacentral:rRNA from 1 species